UACGGGGGUGGCGAGCGUUGUCCGGAAUCACUGGGCGUAAAGGGCGCGUAGGUGGUUUGAUAAGGGUGUGGUGAAAGCCCGGGGCUCAACCCCCGGGUCUGCCGUGCCGACUGUCAAACUCGAGGGCUGUAGAGGCAGACGGAAUUCCGGGUGUAGCGGUGGAAUGCGUAGAGAUCCGGAGGAAGACCGGUGGCGAAGGCGGUCUGCUGGGCAGUUUCUGACACUGAUGCGCGACAGCGUGGGAGCAAACAGGAGUUAGAAA
rnacentral:rRNA from 1 species